rnacentral:rRNA from 1 species
CGCGCAGGCGGCUUUAUAAGUCAGAUGUGAAAGCCCGGGGCUUAACCUCGGAAGUGCAUUUGAAACUAUAUGGCUUGAGUAUGGGAGAGGGAAGUGGAAUUCCUGGUGUAGCGGUGAAAUGCGUAGAUAUCAGGAGGAACACCGGUGGCGAAGGCGGCUUCCUGGACCAAUACUGACGCUGAAGCGCGAAGGCGUGGGGAGCGAACA